CAAGACGAGCGAGAAGCUCGAGACGGAUUCCACGGAAGACGGAGAGAGAGGAAAGCGGCGGACGGGAGAGCAACGCGCGGGCAACCCGCCUCUCACAGAGGGAUAGCCAUUGGAAACGAUGAUUAAAACCUCAUAACACUGCAUUUUCACAUGUAGAAGCAGUCAAAGAUUUAUCGGUGAGAGAUGGGCCCGCGUCUGAUUAGCUGGUUGGUGAGGUAACGGCUCACCAAGGCGACGAUCAGUAGCCGACCUGAGAGGGUGAUCGGCCACAUUGGAACUGAGACACGGUCCAAACUCCUACGGGAGGCAGCAGUGGGGAAUAUUGCACAAUGGGCGAAAGCCUGAUGCAGCAACGCCGCGUGAAGGAAGAAGGCCUUCGGGUCGUAAACUUCUGUCCUAGGGGAAGAAGAACUGACGGUACCCAAGGAGGAAGCCCCGGCUAACUACGUGCCAGCAGCCGCGGUAAUACGUAGGGGGCAAGCGUUAUCCGGAAUUAUUGGGCGUAAAGAGUGCGUAGGUGGCACCUUAAGCGCAGGGUUUAAGGCAAUGGCUCAACCAUUGUUCGCCCUGCGAACUGGGGGGCUUGAGUGCAGGAGAGGAAAGCGGAAUUCCUAGUGUAGCGGUGAAAUGCGUAGAUAUUAGGAGGAACACCAGUGGCGAAGGCGGCUUUCUGGACUGUAACUGACACUGAGGCACGAAAGCGUGGGGAGCAAACAGGAUUAGAUACCCUGGUAGUCCACGCCGU
rnacentral:rRNA from 1 species